GUGGCUGAUAUCAUUGAGGCUGAAGCACUUGCAUCUCAGAAUAAUGAUAAAAAGGUGCUUGUUCAGGAGUUUAGGCGUAUGUACUGUCUCACUUGGAAUGAGAUGAUCUCUUCAGCUGCAUACCGCACGCUAGAAGAAAAGAAAUGGAACAAACCAAAGCUUAUCCCUUUAGCAGAUGACGUAAAAAGAAUGCACAUGUGUAUGGCUGUGAGGCAGAAAGACUACAAUGAACAGUUGCUGAAUCAUAAAACUCCCAAGAACUGGAACAAUCUGGCCAAAGUUACACUUGCACAGGUGAUCCUUUUCAACAGGAGGAGAGAAGGAGAAGUCUCAAAUAUGAAAUUGGAAACCUAUGUUGGAAGGGAUCGAUCUCCACUCAAUAAAGAUGUAGCUGAAGCGUUAUCAGAGGUCGAAAAAAAGCUUUGUCAGCAUUUUGAAAGAGUGGAGAUCAGAGGAAAGCGAGGCAGGAGAGUACCGAUCAUUCUCACUCCAACCAUGGUUCAAUCCCUGGACCUGUUGGUAAAGGAGAGGAGCUCAUGUGGCGUGGGUAACAAUUCCUUCUUGUUUGCCAGACCAGGAUAUGACUCAAGACAGAGGGGGUCAGAUUGCAUUCGUGAGCUCGCGAGAAGCUGUGGUGCACACAAACCUGAAGCUUUCUCAUCAACAAAGCUAAGAAGGCAGGUGGCCACUCUGUCAACAGUGCUAAAUUUGAAUGACUCGGAACAGGAUCUGUUCGCGGACUUCUUAGGACACGAUAUCAGAGUCCACCGAAAGUUUUACCGCCUUCCUGAAGGAACUUUGCAACUUGCAAAAAUAAGUAAAGUACUGAUGGCAUGUGAACAAGGGAGGCUGGCAGACUUUAAGGGAAAAGGACUGGACCAAAUAUCAAUAACGCCUCAUGAUGGAUCCCACGUCAUAGAAGAAAGUUCAGGGAUGUCAUCUGAAGAUGAUGUAAAGGCAGAUUCAACAGGAGGAACUUCAAUGACUCAGAACCAGGAGGAGCAUCACAACCUGCAGCUUGAUGAUGAGCAACGUGUAGAAGGGAAAACUACAGUGACUGAGAUCAAGAAGGUGGCCGUAGAACAGGAGCUGGUAGUGGACAGUUGCAGCUCAAAAGCUACAAACAAGACAACAAAAAUAAAAUGGUCUCUGGAUGAGGUGCAGGCUGUGGAAAGGUCGCUGCUGACUCACAUUCGGACUGGUAGGACUCCAGGGAAGGUGGACUGUGAAAGAUGCAUUGCUGCUGCUGAUGGAGCUCUGUCUGCAAGGGACUGGAGGGCAGUUAAGUUCUAUGUCCGUAAUCGUAUCGUCUCAGAAAGUAGACUGUAAGUUCUUCACCUCAUUUCUGGUGAUUAGAGAAUUUUUUGUUUUUUGUUUUUGAGCU
ensembl:lncRNA